rnacentral:tRNA from 1 species
GCCCCCGUCGUCUAGUGGUCAGGACAGCAGGUUUUCAUCCUGCAGACAGGGGUUCAAUUCCCCUCGGGGGUACCA